rnacentral:lncRNA from 1 species
UUGGGGGUGGAGUGGGGGAGGGCAGCACUCCUGGAGACUCAGAUCGGUUUUCAGGUUGUUUGCCCCAGCACUAAGCCGAGAAGUGAGCAAGGAGGGUUUGAAGCUUCAAGUCCACACCCAAGGUCUGCUCAGUGGGAAAUCCUUCAUCCCUGAACCCACCAGCAAUUCCAGACCCAGGGGUGAAGGGAGGUGCAGGUGAGGGAGGUUUGGCCAAGGCAUCCCCAGGGACAAGCACGGAUGACAGCAGGUGAGCUGAAAUCAACCUGUGCUUACACAGUGAGUCUUGCCAGUGCCUCUGAGGAAAGAUGACCUUGGGGAAGUGAGUGGUCAUUGGUUUCCUGUGUGCCCGGUCCUUCUGGAGAAAGACCUGCACCUCGGCAGAGGCUGAUUCCAGCUUGCAGUUCUCCGCCACUUGCA